GAGGUUUCCUAAGGCUAUUGGGAGUUGGAUUUUUAUCAGGAUUCAGACAUCAUUUUUCAUCCGAAUUGAGCCCCAUUUUCAAUGUUGUAUUCACGCAGUUUUGGACCCUUUAAAUAUGGAUGCUGGGUGCUAUUGAAUAGAGCUGUAGAAAAAUGAGAGUGGCUUGGUGAGUUCGGUGGAACCUGAAUAACAGCCGCGAGUAGAGGUAGCAGCAGACCUUGGAAAGGUGCUAACAGAGAGCAGGAGCAGGAGCUUCAAAUAAAUUAUCAGGCAGCGGACAGCGAUCGCUUUAAGAGUUCAUGGGGGUCUUUCUAGAAAGAGAGCUUUUGUGAGGGAGUGCUUC
rnacentral:lncRNA from 1 species